GGAUUCCUUUCUUCACAGAAUGUCUGUCACCAUUUUGCCUUUGUGAAACGCAGUUUAAGAGUCACCUUGUGGUGGGCAGAGCUCUAAAAACGCCCCCUGCCCCUUUCCAAGAUUCUCCUCUUGGGAAUUAUUCAAUCAAACUCGAAUGCAAGGACUGCUGGGGAGAGACUCUGCAUGUGGAAUUUAAGUCCUAAGUACAUUGAGCUUAUGAUAGGGAGACUAUCUGGGUGGGCCUCACCCAAUCAGUUGAGCCCUUGAUUGAAAGAAUGACAAAGGCUUGUGGAAGUCCCCUCACUGGCUUUGAAGGCAAACAGGCCAUGUGGGAAGGAGUGGGGACAGCAGGGGAAGCAGAGGGCAGCCCCAGCUGUCAGCCUGCAGAGAGGUGGGACCCCCACGCCUCCUGUCACACAAAACGGGAUGGUGCCAACAGCCCGAAGGAGCUCAGAAGUGGAUUCUUCCAGAGCCCCCAGAGAAGAGUCCAGCUUGGCUGACACCUUGAUUCUGGCCUUGUGAGAUCCUGUGUCGGGAACCCAGGAAAACGAGCAUUGCAAGAGACGCUGCAAGGAGGAGCUGGGAAAGGAGCGUGAAGACAAUUCAGAGGACACAUCAAGCAAAGGAUUGCCCUACUUCAUUAGAGAGCCCCCCUCUUUCAUCUCUGUGUCUGACCAGAAAAGCUUGUUAGAGAAAGGACUCACCGCUGAGAGCCAGUGACAAUGUGUGGGGGCAGGGUGGGGAAGCGGACCGCUGGGAAGCUUUCUUUGGGUGACUAAGGGCAAAGACACACAGGCCUAUAAUACCAAGAAGAACAAUGUCUGCAGGCUGACCUCCCAGAUGGCUGGUUUGCAGAGGUGGGGCUGGCCCCAUAAUUAAUCUGCUUUCUUGGCCACAGCUAGCAUUCCUACCUGGGCAGCCGCUCCCCUUAAAGGGGUCCCUCACUUAGCAUCAUGGAGCAGACAAGUCAUCUGGGACCAGCCCCCGUAGGCACAAGUGGACAUGGAGGUCCGGAAAAAGGAUAAGACUUUGACAAGGUCCCAGGGGCCCUGACUUUCCAUUCCAGGAUUCCCCAACACACACACACACACACACACACACACACACACACACACACACACACACAC